UCCAAAAGCGUGUUUUCUAGUUACAAUUUGGCUCAAAGAUUUUGUUUGAUGUCCGUUCGCCAGUAAAAAAAGAAGAUCACAUUGACAUGUUUCGGGUUACUCGUUGUCCAUAAACAUUUAUUACGCAGUCUAAUAACCAAACAAAUCAUUAAUUUAUUUAAUUACAUAUCUAUAACUUGCACGUUCAUUAAACCCUAAAUGUGCAGUAAAACAGGCAAAUCAAGCAAAGGCCCUAUCGAAACACAAACUUUCAUUAAUCUGGUCAUUGUUUCGCGUUAGUAAAUCGAAUAACAAUUUCAACAAUUGGUUUGUUGUCGAAAAAUUAUACGACGUACCUGCAAACAUAACCCAUUGAUCGUGAUUUUACUUCUUCUCUUUGUGACAGGUGAAGACGAAUGGCCCUGUUUUGAUGGUGAUGUUCUCAAGCUGGAAAUAAAAAAUUACCCAGGCCAGUUGUGGUUUGUGUAUCGAUAAAUAAUAAUCCUUUCGUUUCGGUUUACGAUCGGCGGAGUAAUUUUCAAACCGAAGACACAGUACCGCACGUGGAGCGAGUGAUGCUCACCACUCCAGUCUCAAUGGGGAGCUUACUUACGGUCGUUUCAACGGUUGGGACCUGUCCCCGGACAUUCAUCGUAGGAGUUUUCAUGCACGGUGGCACGCGAUAAGAGAGGCACGGGUGCCUGAUGCUGAAGAAAAAUUGGAAAACAAUUUUCACCACCGUGUACCGUUCAACAUUGAGGCAGAAAUGGUAUGUAAAGACGAUUUUUCGAAUUUUAAAGCGUUUGAAUAAUUGGGCAUGCUUGAAGUUGUGGUAAUAUUGCGGGGAAAAUAUUUUCGAUAAUGUUUAAACAAAAAGUUUAAACAAACAAAAUUCAUAAAAGUAUUAAUACAAUAAGUAUAUUAGUAUUUGAAAAAUUUGCAGAAGAAAGCUUUCUAACUCUGACUGUUGACUGUUUUCCAUCGCGAAAAACAUAUUUGAAAGUCCUUUGACAAAAACAUUUUUUACAAAAAAGUUUAAAAUGAUCGUUUGACUGCUUCUACCAGGAACCAUUCCUAAAUAUGCCGGUGCUUAUCACAUGAAUGCUUUAGUUGUGUUUUUUCUCUCUUGUAAAUAACACAUGAAAAAAAAAACUUUUCCUCGAAUCCACAUUUGCCAGGCACCAAAUUUGACGGAAAAGCUCAGAUAAAUCCUCACACCGGCUGAACCGGAGUGUGUUGUGUGACGCGUCCCUUUUUCCAGCUUAUUUUAUGUGUGUUUUUAAGGGAAAUAUGGAAAUGGAAAAAAAAUUCUUUGUGUCUGUUGACGGAUGUUUGUACCGUUGUUGACCUAGCAAUGGCAGACUGGUUGACAAGGCGUUGCCAACCGGCAGAAGGAAAAGAAAAAAUAUCCUCCAGUAACAACGAGUUUCCUUUUCCCGGAGCUACAUACCACUUUCCAUCGUAUGGCGACACGAGACAAACCAACCACGGCGUGCCAAACAGUAUGUGGGAAGCGUUUCAUCCCCAUCCAUCUUGCACAUGACUUCGCGGGAUGAAUCAAGUAGCUGGUAACGGAAAACUCGUUAUUCAUCCCACUUAUGAGGUUCACCUGAACGGAACUUGUUUCUCGCACCCAGACACACCCAAACACGCACACACGCAGACAUACAGUCGCUGGAUUAUCAUUAACAACUCUUCGUCGUCGUCAUCUUUACAUACCGGGUUGGUUUUUGCUUUUGCAUAUUGUAGACACCCCUCUCAGAACGAUCAGACCACAUUCUUCUGAAACCGACACAAGGAAAGAUCCACCCUAAGCUGUGUAAGACACGUGGCAACAUGAUAAGCAGUUUCAAUAUCGGGCUCUGAUCGGCACAGCGCAAGAACCGAAAGCAAACAAGCCAAAGGUGAGUUACAAGGGUUUUUCAAUUCCAUAAACACGUCGGAUAAGAGCAAAAAGUGGUACGAAGUGGCACGCAACCUCUUCAAUUCGAAACAGCCACGUGUGACAGUAGCUGCUUAAAGAACAAAAACCCGGCUAAAACUCAGUUCAGUAACUUAACGGUGUUUGAAAGAGGGAUGGAAAAUGGCAGCGUCUGGAAUGUCCCACCCGUAACAGCAGAUGGCAGAUGUGCACUGAAACCCGUGCUUAGUCAAGUGCUGGCUUUUGUAGGUGUUUUGUCAUCCUCACCAUCCAUUUCAUCAACCAAAAAAGCCUUUACAACUUUAGAACUUCCCAGUAGGUCGGUCGAACUUCGAACCACUACACCAUCCAACCAAAUUUAUUGAAUCUCCUAUUGGGCCGGUUUGAAUAUUUGAGAAAAAAAAAAGUUUUUAACUUUACUUUUCUACUGCAACGGCAAAAUAAUCCUCUUAAAAAUGAACCCCAAGUGUACCAAGUUCGUUAAACACACUAUCGAACGUGACGUUCGGGUGCAUUGAAUUCGUUCUCUCGGCUCACAUCAAGGCGAUGUCCUUCUAGUGUGUCCUGAGGGACAUUUAGUUCUUUCUUUUCUUUUCCCUGUCUUUGCUUGCUUACUACUUCACUUACUUUCUACUGCGCUCACUGCAAGCUGAAGCUUGUGUAAAAAUGUGCUCCUCCAUUCGAUCGGAUUGACGACGACGAAGAAACGAUUCCGUUCCUUCAGGGUAAAAGUUAAUAAAUUCAAUUUAAAUUCAUAGAACUCGUAAAAUUGUAAAAAUCACUUGACUUGGUGAAAAACGAGCUUCUUCAUAACUCAACGUGCUCUUUGACACUGUGAUCAAGAACGUUUGUCAACUGUGUGGAAAAAUGGUGAUACGAAAACUGGAAAGACUUUCAACGAAGAAUUCAGUAUAAACAUAAGUUUUGGGUGGAAUGUUCCCGUGUCGUUUUUCGUCGUUUUUGAGGUUUAGUUUGCAGAUAUUGAAGACGUUUAAAGUCGUUUAAUUAUUGUUGCCGGACUCUUCCCGCCUAGCGAUGCUAGAUGAAGAAGAUCGAGAUUUGAUUGUCACAUUAUUCGAAUAAGCAAGCAAAAUACUUCACUAUGUGCUACGUUUUAAUUAAACCAAUCAAGUGAUAACCAUCGAUUAUUAGUAGCGUAAUAAAUGAUGAUCGAUCUAUUGCUUUCCAAAGACACAAAAACGUUCCAUUCCGUCUUCACCAAAAGUCGCAUAAAAUAAUCAACGCCAAAUAAUUUUCCCGGAUACCUGUUCCUGCUAGCCAACCUUCCUGACCGACCAUCGAAUUCCAAAAUUUUCUCAUCUUUUUCAACAUCCAAUACAGCCAAAGUCAACAAGGAAUGGCACUGCGAAAGAACACAAUUUAACGACUGACACUAUUUUUCUAACCGACCGUGCGACAAAAGAAACAUCGAUGAAAGGACACGUUGCAGACGAACCACAUACACGCUCACACCGAAAAGGACCCUCCAGAAGUCAUCGACAGGAACCGAAAGAGGUUGGUCUUUAGCGGGCACAUUGAAUAGCUAGAAAGAAACAUACACAUACCAAAAAAAACCCAACAAAACGACAUCGCAUUUUUCCAUCAUUUCGCUCUUGAGAACAACGAACAAAAAUACAUCCACACGCAGAGCACACAGUGAAACGACGAUCGUGAAGAGUCCCGUAACGAGCAGCGUCCAGAAGAGGAUAGAAUAAAAAAUUGCUAGUUGCCGGUGACCACCGGAAGUAUGGCUUCCGGGAAAUGGUCACCGGCUGGUGGUCAAAAUCAACAAGGAGAUAAUUGAUUGUGUGGCUAAGGCUCACAGAACCUGAGACGCAACCGAGCGUCCGUGUGCCCAGAUGAAAGCGUUUUUCUACACGUGGCUGUCUGUAUGAUAUGGUGACGGUUCAGAACCAUUCAGAUCGUUGUUUUCCGGCUGGAACUUUCUGGUGCCGUCCGGACGCUUCCGGUCUAGCGUGAUAUCUGGACGUGCGCAAUAGAGGGUAGUGAGGGAAGAUGGAAAUUAAUCACCCUCCGUGGAACUUUUACGAGUGCCGAAAAUUGUUUCCGCGACAGAGUUAACCCAUUUGCUGGUGGACACAUUCUUUUUUUUUCCUCUCUUUCGGUAACGGUCGAAGGGUCAAUUUUGGCUACUUACGGAAGUUGCUUGCUAGUUGAUGGUGAUAAGUGGACCCACUAGCGAUGGGUUGGUUCUUAAACUUUCGUUGGGUUUUCAAAAUAUUCAAGACAAAGAAUAGAACAUUCUGCCCACUGUCUAGUGGAGUAAAAAAGGAAUUUAAUCAUCGAGAGUAGAUCAGGUUUAAGUUACUUUAAGCCUCAUAUAGUUGUUGAAGUCCUAAGACGGUUAUUUAUUGAUUUAUGACUAUUUUAAGAAAUGGUGAGCUUUUUCAUUGAAGACAAGUAUUUAGGCUAAGUCAAGACUUAAAGGGAAGUUGAAGGGAGUAGAGCAUUAAUAAUUGGAUGUUCAAAACAUUCUUCUGAAUAGAUAGCUGUACAAAGAUUCAAGCAGGUGAGAGAUCAACAGUUUACCAGAGAAUAAAGUUCUAGGUAAAGUUUAUAUCUAAAGCUUCACAAUAUAGCCUUAUGUCAUUUAAACACUUUUUCACCAAAUCUUGUGGCAUUGGUGGCCAUUCCGCAGGUUAUGGAGGAAUAAGUUAAUAGCACUCGUGAAGGAAAAUUGUUCGAUCAUAUCAUAUACCUCCUGCGGCUCACAAUGAUAAGCUUUCUGCCUUACUUAGCGACAUUAUCAGUCACAUUUCAAUAAACCUACUGUUUGUCUUCUAAAUUGAAACAUUCUACGCCUCACGCAGGGCAGGGAAAACACUUAAACUCAGUGUUAAUAAAAGUCCAAAAGUUUUCCGAUCGAUUGAUGAGCGUCUUGAGAUGGUUUCAUGCAAAAGUUCAUCGUCCACAACGAAAACCGGCACCUAACAAAUUGAGCCAUAAAGCCAACACAACCUUUCAAAUCAGCACCGACACCAAUCUCGGUAACGGGACGUGGCGGUGAAUGUAGAACUUAAACUUUAAACCCAUCUUCCGGAACGAUUUACGAUGUAUCAUAAAAUUCAUCGACUCGUUUAUGUUGACUCCACCCAGCGGGAUUCUCUUGCCUUGUACAGGCGAAUUCCUUUCCCUUUUUCAGCAGAACAAAAACCUUUCAUUUUAAUACCUAUUGUCAUUUUGACGACGGUGGAUUUACUCGAAACAUCGUUGCAUCGACACGAAAUGAAGACACGGUUAGGGUGAACUUUUCGGCCCAUUCGGUACUCGGUAAAGCUGAACUUUCCGAAAGUGCGUUUUCGAUCUUACUACUUACUGGGUCACGAUCGUGACUUGACACGCGAAACUCAUUCGCCCACUCGUCUCGCAAAAAGGCAGCUUAAGAAACGGAAUCUAAUUUAAAAGUUUAAUCCUUUCCAGAUCCACGCGCGACGUUGUCGGUGUCAUCACCCGUGAAAAGUUCGUUGUUUGUGUCAUACAUACUAGUGCCGGUUGUUUUCGUUUCACGCUGCAUAAAGCAUUACAGAACUUACCACCAUCCGUCCCGGGCGCUGGAAAGCGUAUGUCACACGAUGCUUUAUGUUUUUCCGGCUUCCGACUUGCAUAAGCCACGUUUAUAGUGCCAGCAAAGAAAUUUUGCUUUCCGGAAGAAGGAGGAAUAGAACAUAUUCGCUCCCCAAAUCUACCAUUUUCCACAAAGUGCUCGAACCGAACAUUGCCCGUGUUGCGUAAUUUGUUUGCAUUUGUAUGAAAGCUUGGUGCUAAAAACAUGCGAAAGGUGCUUUCCGCUCCGAAAGGAGAUGGAAAAAUGGUGUGCUCCUUGUGCUCGGGGAAAAGCUUACCUUCCGUGUCGUUUGCAUUGGAUUAGUGGAAAUUGUAAUCGUAGUUUCGAGUGAAAAUGAGUGGAUCUCUUCACCGUACCGUGCACACGUUUGUAUGUGAGUGUUUCGCGUGCAUAGAGCAUAAAUCGUAGCCGGAUGCUGUGGAUUGUGUGAAAACUUGCAUGUUUUCUAGCCUAAUCCGGGCCUUCUGGGUUGGAAAUAUGCGAACGGUUUUCUAAUGGGACACGAGACCGGCGAGGCAAGGAUAAAUGCUUAACUGUGCCGCAACUGGCACAACCCGAAAUGGAUGGAGUUCUGUUUUAAAUUGCACCAAGGAUUAUGCUCAAAUGAAAUGAAUUAUGCUGCAACAAAUCGUGCAUUUAUGCAAGCCUUGAUGACAGUUUUGGGUUUUUGAAACACCUUCUUUUGGUCUGCUGUAAACCAAAGGAUAACGCUACCACCGGAGGAAGGUUGGUAUUAAGCAGUUGUGGAAAUUUAAUUAAACUAGCAACAAAAUGAACGAUAUAGCAAAAAUUAAAUAUUUACGAUUCAUAAGUAAAAUAAUAAAUAAUUGAAAUUAACACAAAAACUUGAUUUCAGUUCAGAUAAUAAACAUUUUAAUUGAACGUAUUCUGAGAAUAUACUGAGGUAUACUUUCACAUACAAAUAUAGCAUUAAUUGAUUGAAAAUAUAAUUAUUUCAUGCUGUUAAACAUACCUAUUACAAUUUCACAUAAAAGAAAAUAUUUUGUUAUGAAGACAGAAAUUUGAAGAUAGAAAACCAACCAUCAACCAA